rnacentral:misc_RNA from 1 species
AUUUUGGUUUGUCAGCUCGUUGGUAAAUCACACAUCAGACAUUGUUUCCUGUCUCUUUCUAAGGUUUAUAAAAAUGGCUCGAGAAACAAAUGCAAAUGGGGACAAUUUUCCGGGAUCUUUUCUGUCCGAUCUCGCCGAAAUUUUAUCUAUAGUUCACCAGGACGGGAACAAAAUGAUUACGGAUGCGCUAUUUUUAGGGGAAAUAACUAUCUUAAAACAAGUUAACAAUCGCCUACCCGAAGGACCGUUCUCAGAGAGUCACAUUGUCGGAUCAGCGGGCGAAGGUGUGCCGAGUUUGGACAUUUUUUCCAACGAGUCUGACGUGGAUAUCAUGGCGGUAGCGAGGUCAUGGUUUGUAUUUGAAAGACAUGCACCAGAGAAAGCACGAGAAAAUAUUCAGUGCCUGCAAUUCGACGAUUCGGACACGCUACCAGGCUACGUGAAGCUGAAACUGAUUCAGGAAGAUAGCAACCGUUCAACUGAAGAAGUUCCACUAUUUCUAUCAAGCUCUGAAGUACGGAACAAUGUGUUUGAUAUAAACAGAGACCUUUCUUCUGAUCACAUGUACAGUCAAAUGUCUCGACUGCUGGGACACAAAUGGUCCAUCAGCUGGUUUUCCAAUGGCCCGUCGUUUUCAGCAAGUAUUGAAACAGACGACCAAAACGUGCUCACUCGUGGACUGGCACAUGUCAAGUCGGUUGACUCGGUGGUUGCAUUAAAGUGUAGAGAGUGGCCAAAAAUCGCGGAGGAGUGGAUUGAAAGAAGAAGAGAGUUUGACUGGCCAGGUGGUGCGCUCAUAGAAGAAGCAGUCGAGAAGGGCUGUUACUUGGUACCGAUCGGCGGCCAUCAAAGUCAGUGCGAGGAAUUGGAAUGGCGAAUCUCUUUUGUUCUUGCUGAACGAUUGCUUAUCAGAAAUAUGAAUUUCAUACAACGUUUUGUGUAUGCGAUAUUAAAAACAAUUCGAAAGGAGAUAUUUGGGCAUUUUUCUGCUAUCAUUUCUUCAUAUAUUAUUAAAACAGCGGUUCUCUGGGUGUCAGAAGAAAACGAUGUUUCAAAUUGGGAACCUGGAUUUGUGCUUAGAUAUGUGAGGUUGUGUUUUUUGAAGAUUUUGAACUUUCUUCAGGUCGGCUUUUGUCCAAACUAAUUCAUGAGGAAAUGCAAUUUAUUUCAAGCUAAAUACUCUGAAAAUGAAAGGUUGGGGCUGAUAUAUGUUAUUACAGAUUUUGUUAACCCUUCGAGAUUUCUUAUUACAAUUAACAUUUUAAAAUCAAUCGACAAUAUUCGACGAUAUAUGUACAAUUAUUUAAAAAUGGCUCGUUCACAUCUAAGUUUGAUCAGGAAUGUUCGGAAUGAGGCAGCCUUCAGAUUUAGUUCAGAAGAUACAAUAAACCAGUUUAUGGACAACGUUUUCAACGGCCAGGAGGAAGCCUUCCCCGAGGUCGCCAUUCAAACCCUGUCUCUAUUGCUCACUCUGGUGAAAAAGAACUCGGACAACUUGUCUUUGACACUGAAAGAAACGAUGAUAGAAAUCUUAUCAUGUUUGCAAAUUCGGACUGCGAGUUCAGUCACCUUUAGAAAUUCUGGCCCGUUAACGUUGCAACAACGGUUUGAAAUACUCAAACGUUUAUUGAACGACUCCAAAUUGCAGGUGCCGAAUCUCUCCGUUGGAGGAAUAACACAUAUAGCGCAUGCGUUUUUUUCGUUUGGAUGCAUCGAACACUGUUUGGAAUUGCUGUUACCAAUGUUAGAGACGAGUCGUUCAAAGCCACAAGUUAGAAUGAACAGCUAUAUGUCACUUUUUUACCUGAUACUAGCGAAUGUGUGUAAUGGAGACAUGGCUGAUUCUCGCCCGGUUAUCAACAUUCAAUUCUACCCCUUUGAGUUACCAUUGCUUACUAAUGAUAUCCGUUUUGAGGCCCUGGUGUUGAAAUUUCAACAGGAGCUUUAUUCGAGAAGGGCUGUAGGAAUGCAACAAUUUCAUUUCAACUUAACGCUCGACCCAUUGGUGUAUGCUUGCUACAUGAAAUUUAAAUGCAAGCGUCUUGUUGGAGACAACAUUGGAUCGUGUCUGGCACUCAAGGAGUUUGAAGAAAUGGGUUUCAGUGGAGUUUCUCAUAGAUAUGUAGCACUUAGUCUACUUGGAUGCUGCCUCUAUGAAAAUGGACACAAAGAGAAGGCGGUAUCAAUGUUUGGAAUGUCAAUCCGGGAGAAUAAGGAGAGAAUGGCAACGUACUAUCAUAUCGCCAUAUUGCUUAAUCGUGAAAUAAGCUCAAAUACUUUGAUAGCCUGAAAAAUUAAAUUAAUACUUCCAUGUCUUGAAAAAGUACCAUUUCAAAAUGCAGGAUAUUGCGAAAAGGGAUGACGGAUCUAGUUUUAAUUAAAGUGUCAACUGAAUAGCACAACUGUCGUUUUAAGUUUAUCGAUAAUAAAUGUGUUGCAUUUG